rnacentral:rRNA from 1 species
UGGGGAAUCUUGCACAAUGGGGGCAACCCUGAUGCAGCGACGCCGCGUGAGCGAUGAAGGUUUUCGAAUCGUAAAGCUCUGUCCUAUGGGAAGAUAAUGACGGUACCAUAGGAGGAAGCCCCGGCUAACUACGUGCCAGCAGCCGCGGUAAUACGUAGGUGGCAAGCGUUGUCCGGAAUUAUUGGGCGUAAAGCGCGCGCAGGUGGUUUAGAAAGUCUGAUGUGAAAGCCCACGGCUCAACCGUGGAGGGUCAUUGGAAACUAAUAAACUUGAGUGCAGGAGAGAAAAGUGGAAUUCCUAGUGUAGCGGUGAAAUGCGUAGAGAUUAGGAGGAACACCGGUGGCGAAAGCGGCUUUUUGGCCUGCAACUGACACUGAGGCGCGAAAGCGUGGGGAGCAAACAGG